AAACUUCUUUAUUUAUUUACAGACUAGAGUCAAGGAGCUUCACCCGUUACACACUUGAAUCCUUUUUCUAGGCACCAUAAAGGAUCCCAACAAUUAUACAUUACAAGUCAUUACCUUUAUUUAUAGACCAGACACAAGGCGCUCUGCCCAUACAACAUACUUGGAACAUUUUUAAAGGCACACUAAAAGACCAUCCACAACAAAACAUUGAUUCGAUCAUUACACUGGAGGUCGCCUUUUCAUCGGAAAUUGAGAUUUACCUUACCAAGAGGUAAUAUCAACGUUACACAAAACAUGACAUAUAACCAUGUCUAACCUUAUAUCUAGAUUAGAUUACACAGUACACACCAGCUUAAUUAUCUUACAGUAGUAUUCAAUUGGAAUACAAACGCCAAUACACUUUACCAUCGAAAGUAUGAUCAGAAUCCAGAACAUUUCCAUGAGGUACCUCUAUAAGAUUAAUCUGCAAAACAAGAGAACCUCCUUCCUGCACAUGACGAUCUUUAUACAGUUCAUCUAAUUGAACCAUAGUUCUAAGGCCAUGAAUAGGACGAUUUUUAUCAAUAGGCCUAUAACCAUUAGUAUAACCAGAUGCAACAACAUCAAAAGAUGCUUCAGCAUCCAUAUUAUUGGCGGCUGCAGGAGGCAGAUCUCCUCUCCAAGCAUCCUCGUUAGCUCUGGGAACAAAUAAGACGGCCCAAGAAACAAUAGGAGCCCAACUUCGACCAAACAAACCAAAAUCCAUCCUAUUCAAGUUCUUCAAAACACCAGGAUCUGCAUAACGCAGAAAAAAGUAGUCUGAUUUAAAACCUAUCAAUUUUUGCUGAUCACACGCCAUAUCUUCCUUGAUUAAUGAAAAAUAAGCGCUCAGAAUCAGAGCACUUGCCUCAGAAAUUAUUUUCGUUGCUCUGUCACUCUUUUUUCUGCUGCCGUCCAAAGACAUUUUCACGUCUAUUUAUGCAAGGGAGGAAUUCGAACACAAACAAAUCACAAAUAAUUAUUAAUUAAUUAUAAUAGGACUCUUAAUUAAUGCAUUCCAGCAUCUCCUUCUGCAACGUGUCUGGCGACGUGGUUUUGUCUUCGUCUGUGCUCCGCCUUUCAUUUCUUGGAUAUCUUCAUCAUAGGUAUUAGAGCCAAGUUAAGGUUAGGUAGAUGAUACAAGUCCUCUUCAAAAGGAUUUUGCUAUCUAGGUAUUAGAGCCUAGUAAUAUAAGGUAUAAUCUCACAUAAAAUUGUGGGUCUAAGUGGAACCUAAAAUUAAAUUUUUAUGAGACUGUAUCUUACAUUACACGCUUACUUUAAUAAUUGACACGUGUUAAUUAAUGCAUUCCAGCAUCUCCUACUGCAACGUGUCUGGCGACGUGGUUUUGUCUUCGUCUGUGCUCCGCCUUUCAUUUCUUGGAUGAGUUCUGCUAUUUGCCCCGGGUCAAAUCCCGGGUCAAACCCCGAAAGUAAUAAAACGAUGCCGUUUCAAUUUCAUUUUUUUUUUGUUUCAUCCCAGCUAAAACGGCGUCGUUUUAACUGGGUUAAGGCUGCGAAAGCAUCAGAUUUGUCACCAAGAAAUCAUUUGCAACAUUAAUUAACAAGGGUAAACAAAAACGAACUCCAGUUUAAAACAACAGAGACAUACAUUGUUCUUUUUUCAAAAUGAAGCAAUAAGAGUGCAGGCACCAGAAAAAAAGAAAAAAGAAAAAAAAGAGAAAUCCAAUUUCGUAAGAUUACAACAUACAAGCUCUUAGUUGCCUGCAUUUUCGUUCUUUCAUCUUCUACCAAUUAAUAACUACACAAUUGCCUUUGCUACUUUCAAAAUAAAAAUUAUAGCAAUAUUAAAUAAAAAAAAAACGAAGAAACAAGAGGGUAAAAAUAUACAAGCUGGAGCAAACAAAAAAUUUCUUGGGUGGCCGUGUUGUCUAAUGCGUCAUCAUAGGAAAGAAAAUGGCUGAGGAGGAGGUCGACGUGAGAGUAGAGGAGGGUUUGUGAAGAAGAUGAAGAAAGAGGUUUGUGAAUGAGAGAGAUGAGGGUUUUUUGCAGAGGGGUAAAACGAAGAGGAAGACAAAGCAGUUGGGUUUUCCUUGGUUUUAUCUUUUCUAAGCCAAACGGUGUCGUUUUAUAGAGAAUCAAAACAUAAAAAAGGCAUCGACAAAACGACGUCGUUUAGGGCAAUUUCGGGGUCUGACCCGGGGUUUGACUCGGGGCAAGUAGCAUUUUCCUUCUUGGAUAUCUUCAUCAUAGGUAUUAGAGCCAAGUUAACGUUAGGUAGAUGAUACAAGUCCUCUUCAAAAUAGCUCUGUGUCGCAAGUGGUUCCGGUACGUAGAUCCACGUCUUCUUUUGCAGCGUGGUUUGGCCUUUUCAGUUCUUCUCAUUCUUUGAUUUCUUCGAAUAGUUAUCUGCAUCGUGUUUACAGGUUAGGUAAGACUAAGGAUUGGGUUCGCACAGUUCUAAUAUUUUGAUUGGACCAUCCUGCAUCUAUCUCUUAUUUAGUUUAGCAUGACUUAUUUAACAUCAUAAAUAUUUAUUUAAUUUUAUAAUUUUU
rnacentral:lncRNA from 1 species